CAAGUCGAACGGACUUAACUCAUUCUUUUAGAUUGAGAGCGGUUAGUGGCGGACUGGUGAGUAACACGUAAGCAACCUGCCUAUCAGAGGGGAAUAACAGUGAGAAAUCAUUGCUAAUACCGCAUAAGCUAGUAGUAUCGCAUGAUAUAGCUAGAAAAGGAGCAAUCCGCUGAUAGAUGGGCUUGCGUCUGAUUAGCUAGUUGGUGGGGUAACGGCCUACCAAGGCGACGAUCAGUAGCCGGACUGAGAGGUUGAACGGCCACAUUGGGACUGAGAUACGGCCCAGACUCCUACGGGAGGCAGCAGUCGGGAAUAUUGCGCAAUGGAGGAAACUCUGACGCAGUGACGCCGCGUAUAGGAAGAAGGUUUUCGGAUUGUAAACUAUUGUCGUGAGGGAAGAAAUUGACAGCACCUCAGGAGGAAGCUCCGGCUAACUAUGUGCCAGCAGCCGCGGUAAUACAUAGGGAGCAAGCGUUAUCCGGAUUUAUUGGGUGUAAAGGGUGCGUAGACGGGAAAUUAAGUUAGUUGUGAAAUCCCUCGGCUUAACUGAGGAACUGCAACUAAAACUGAUUUUCUUGAGUACUGGAGAGGAAAGUGGAAUUCCUAGUGUAGCGGUGAAAUGCGUAGAUAUUAGGAGGAACACCAGUGGCGAAGGCGACUUUCUGGACAGUAACUGACGUUGAGGCACGAAAGUGUGGGGAGCAAACAGGAUUAGAUACCCUGGUAGUCCACACUGUAAACGAUGGAUACUAGGUGUAGGAUGUAUUAAGCAUUCUGUGCCGCCGCUAACGCAUUAAGUAU
rnacentral:rRNA from 1 species